AACGAACGCUGGCGGCAUGCCUAACACAUGCAAGUCGAACGAGACCUUCGGGCCUAGUGGCGCACGGGUGCGUAACGCGGGGGAACCUGCCCUUAGGUUCGGAAUAACUCCCCGAAAGGGGUGCUAAUACCGGAUAAUGUCUUCGGACCAAAGAUUUAUCGCCUUUGGAUGGGCCCGCGUUGGAUUAGCUAGUUGUUAGGGUAAAAGCCUACCAAGGCGACGAUCCAUAGCUGGUCUGAGAGGAUGAUCAGCCACACUGGGACUGAGACACGGCCCAGACUCCUACGGGAGGCAGCAGUGGGGGAUAUUGGAAAAUGGGCGAAAGGCUGAUCCAGCAAUGCCGCGUGAGUGAUGAAGGCCUUAGGGUUGUAAAGCUCUUUUACCCGGGAUGAUAAUGACAGUACCGGGAGAAUAAGCUCCGGCUAACUCCGUG
rnacentral:rRNA from 1 species